AUACCCGCAGCCCAAGUGGUGGUCGAUUUUAUUGAGUCUAAAACGUUCGUAGCCGGUUCAUUAAAUCCUUGGGUAAAUCGGAUGGCUUAACUAUCCGAAUUCCGGGGAGACUGGUGAACUUGGGACCGGGAGAGGCAAGAGGUACUUUUGGGGUAGGGGUGAAAUCCUGUAAUCCUAAAAGGACCACCGGUAGCGAAGGCGUCUUGCUAGAACGGAUCCGACGGUGAGGGACGAAGCCCUGGGUCGCAAACGGGAUUAGAUACCCCGGUAGUCCAGGGUGUAAACGCUGCAGACUUGGUGUUGGGGACCCUUCGGGGGUGUUCAGUGCCGGAGAGAAGUUGUUAAGUCUGCUACUUGGGGAGUACGUCCGCAAGGAUGAAACUCAAAGGAAUUGACGGGG
rnacentral:rRNA from 1 species